ACGCUGGCGGCGUGCCUAACACAUGCAAGUCAACUUGACUGAAGGAGCAAUCUGACAGUAGAGUGGCGCAAGGGUGCGUAACGCGUAAGUAACUUGCCCCAAGGUAAGGAAUAACGUCGAGAAAUCGGCGCUAAUACCUCAUAAUGCAGCGGAUCCGCAUGGAUAUGUUGUUAAAGGUUUACCGCCUUGGGAUAGGCUUGCGUCUGAUUAGUUAGUUGGUGUGGUAACGGCACACCAAGGCUACGAUCAGUAACUGGUCUGAGAGGAUGAUCAGUCACACUGGAACUGAGACACGGUCCAGACUCCUACGGGAGGCAGCAGUGAGGAAUAUUGGGCAAUGCUCGAAAGAGUGACCCAGCAACGCCGCGUGGAGGAUGAAGGUAUUCUAUAUCGUAAACUCCUGUGAGAGCAGACGAAAGACGGAUUAUUAAUCUGGAUGACUGUAUGCUCAGAGGAAGCCCCGGCUAACUACGUG
rnacentral:rRNA from 1 species